rnacentral:rRNA from 1 species
GAGCAAAUCUCAAAAAAACAAUCUCAGUUCAGACUGCAGGCUGCAACUCGCCUGCACGAAGUCGGAAUUGCUAGUAAUCGUAGGUCAGCAUACUACGGUGAAUACGUUCCCGGGUCUUGUACACACCGCCCGUCACACCAUGGGAGCCGGAAAUGCCCGAAGUCAGUGACCCAACCAAUAAGGAGGGAGCUGCCGAAGGCAGGUCUGGUGACUGGGGUGAAGUCGUAACAAGGUAUC